rnacentral:pre_miRNA from 1 species
AAUAGAUGAUGCCGUUGACUUUUUCUCAUAUGUUUAACCAUUCGUCUUAUUUAAAAAAUUUACGUAAUUAUAAUUUAUUUUCUUAUGAGUUGUUUUAUCACUCAUAGUACUUUAAGUGUGAUUUAUAUAUUAUACAUUUGCAUAAAAUUUUUUAAUAAGACGAAUGGUCAAACAUGUGAGAAAAAGUCAACGGCGUCAUCUAUU